GAGACCCACGCCAACAGUUGCCAGCAUGUCCUCCGGGAUGGUGGGGACACUGUUGGGACCGCCUCUGCUAAAGAGGAGGAAGGAAUGGGCAACGGUAGGUCAGCAUGCCCCGAAUUAUCCGGGCUACACGUGGGCUACAAUGGUCAGGACAAUGGGUAUCGACACCGAGAGGUGAAGGCAAUCUCUUAAACCUGUCCUUAGUUCGGAUUGUGGGCUGCAACUCGCCCACAUGAAGCUGGAAUCCGUAGUAAUCGCGUCUCAAAAUGGCGCGGUGAAUAU
rnacentral:rRNA from 1 species